rnacentral:rRNA from 1 species
AGUCCUUUACUGACGCUAAAGCUCGAAGGUGCGGGUAUCGAACAGGAUUAGAUACCCUGGUAGUCCGCACGGUAAACGAUGGAUGCCCGCUGUCGGCGAUAUAUUGUCGGCGGCCAAGCGAAAGCGUUAAGCGUCCCACCUGGGGAGUACGCCGGCAACGGUGAAACUCAAAGGAAUUGACGGGGGCCCGCACAAGCGGAGGAACAUGUGGUUUAAUUCGAUGAUACGCGAGGAACCUUACCCGGGCUUGAACUGCAGGAGAAGGAUACAGAGAUGUUGACGCCCUUCGGGGCUCCUGUGGAGGUGCUGCAUGGUUGUCGUCAGCUCGUGCCGUGAGGUGUCGGCUUAAGUGCCAUAACGAGCGCAACCCCUGCCUACAGUUGCCAUCAGGUCAUGCUGGGCACUCUGUGGGGACUGCCACCGCAAGGUGUGAGGAAGGUGGGGAUGACGUCAAAUCAGCACGGCCUGAAGUCCGGGGCUACACACGUGUUACAAUGGGUGGUACAGAGAGUCAGGUGCUGGCAACAUCACCUUAAUCUACAAAGCCAUCCUCAGUUCGGAUUGGGGUCUGCAACCCGACCCCAUGAAGCAGGAUACGCU